GACGAACGCUGGCGGCGUGCUUAACACAUGCAAGUCGAACGGAAAGGCCUGCUUUCCCUUGUGGAUUGCGGGUACUCGAGUGGCGAACGGGUGAGUAACACGUGAGUGAUCUGCCCCCAACUUGGUUAUAAGCCUGGGAAACUGGGUCUAAUUCCCGAUAGGACUGCAGGGUGGUGCCUGUGGUGGAAAACGAUUUUCUAGUGGUUGGGGAUGAGCUCGCGGCCUAUCAGCUUGUUGGUGGGGUAAUGGCCUACCAAGGCGGCGACGGGUAGCCGGCCUGAGAGGGUGGACGGUCACAUUGGGACUGAGAUACGGCCCAGACUCGUACGGGAGGCAGCAGUGGGGCAGAGUGCACAAUGGGCGGAAGGCUGAUGCAGCGACGCAGCGUGGGGGAUGACGGGCUUCGGGUUGUAAACUCCUUUCGACCGCGAGGAAGCCACCUGGGUGGACGGGUGGUGACGGUAGUGGUAGAAGAAGCACCGGCUAACUACGUG
rnacentral:rRNA from 1 species